AGAUGUCAGGGCGAUCUGGCUGAGACAUCUGUCACCCCAUUGAUCACCAGGGUUGAUUCAGCUGAUCUGGCUGGCUAGGCAGGUGUCACUUUCCUCCCUCACCACUCCAUAUGCGUCCCUCCAGAAGCUGCGUGCUCAUUCGAAGAGGAUGGACUUCCCCUUUAAUUAAUUUAGCAUGACAUCGAGUAGAGACAAACUGGUUUUCGGUGGAGGGUAUACGAGUAGCAGUGCUCCCCUGCUAGAACCUCCAAACAAUAAAAUUAAUAUGGAAAAUAAUUUUGAGUACUUCCCAAAUUAUAUAAAUUUGAGUAUAUAUAUAAUAUAUAUAC
ensembl:misc_RNA 7SK 7SK RNA